UAGGGAAUCUUCGGCAAUGGGGGGAACCCUGACCGAGCAACGCCGCGUGAGUGAAGAAGGUUUUCGGAUCGUAAAGCUCUGUUGUUAAGGAAGAACGAGUGUGAGAAUGGAAAGUUCAUACUGUGACGGUACUUAACCAGAAAGGGACGGCUAACUACGUGCCAGCAGCCGCGGUAAUACGUAGGUCCCGAGCGUUGUCCGGAUUUAUUGGGCGUAAAGCGAGCGCAGGCGGUUAGAUAAGUCUGAAGUUAAAGGCAGUGGCUCAACCAUUGUAGGCUUUGGAAACUGUUUAACUUGAGUGCAGAAGGGGAGAGUGGAAUUCCAUGUGUAGCGGUGAAAUGCGUAGAUAUAUGGAGGAACACCGGUGGCGAAAGCGGCUCUCUGGUCUGUAACUGACGCUGAGGCUCGAAAGCGUGGGGAGCGAACGGG
rnacentral:rRNA from 1 species